rnacentral:rRNA from 1 species
AGUGAACGCUGGCGGUAGGCCUAACACAUGCAAGUCGAACGGCAGCACAGUAAGAGCUUGCUCUUACGGGUGGCGAGUGGCGGACGGGUGAGGAAUACAUCGGAAUCUACUUUUUCGUGGGGGAUAACGUAGGGAAACUUACGCUAAUACCGCAUACGACCUACGGGUGAAAGCAGGGGAUCUUCGGACCUUGCGCGAUUCAAUGAGCCGAUGUCGGAUUAGCUAGUUGGCGGGGUAAAGGCCCACCAAGGCGACGAUCCGUAGCUGGUCUGAGAGGAUGACCAGCCACACUGGAACUGAGACACGGUCCAGACUCCUACGGGAGGCAGCAGUGGGGAAUAUUGGACAAUGGGCGCAAGCCUGAUCCAGCCAUACCGCGUGGGUGAAGAAGGCCUUCGGGUUGUAAAGCCCUUUUGUUGGGAAAGAAAAGCAGCAGGUUAAUACCCCGCUGUUCUGACGGUACCCAAAGAAUAAGCACCGGCUAACUUCGUG